UCACAUUAUCUUCAAAACUCUUAGUUUAAAAAGGCAGAGGAGUGGAUCACAAGUAAUUUGGAAAAAAAAUUCAGUUUGCCAACCUUUUAAAGAAAUCUUAAAACCUCUGGUGUCAAAUUUCAGUUAGUUAGAAAGAUAAUGCAUGUGGAAUGGCUCAUCUCCCAUAGAAACCAGAGAAUGAGAUGCCACUGUAUCUACGGAAAGGCAAAUAUGCCCACAUAUCUCAAUAACCCCAGAGAGCGGGUCAGUUAGAGUGUUUCAAAUCAUCCAGUCUCCUGGGCAUCUGGGAUGUCAUGGCGACUGCACCAAUUAUACUAACUUUUGUGAUUUUCCCAAAAUAUUUGAUGUGCCUCUUACUCAGGGGGCCAAGGGCAACACUAAGCAAGCUACGGUGGAGGGAAAGAGGGCUCAUGGCAGAGGGCUGUGGUCAGGGCGGGGCGCCACUGAGGAGAGAAAUCUGUCCCCUUUCAGCGGCUCUCUGUGGUUUGUUCUCUCUUCUCAGUGUGUGGGAGAUACAUGUGAGCCCUGCCUCCAUUGUAUGGCCGGGAAACCAUUGCCAGUGUAGAAGUACCCACUAUAGUUUUCUAGGUGGAGGAAAUGGGGUAGGUGUGAAAUGGGCACCCAUCUCAGAAUGGUUUCAGAUUGUAGGAACUAUGCACCAUUACAAGCCACUGCUUUUGGUGGACAGCUGUGUCCACAGGUGGUUUAAGAGGGAGCCUCAGGGGCAGAGGGAGAGGAGAACGGAAGCCCUCCUUCAGCUAAACGUGAACCUGGUGAAUUUGGAUGAGCUCCUUAGCUCUAAAUUGUUAUUUCCAUUCUCGGGCUCCUUCAAGGACCCCAAGCCUCCAAUUUGCCACAGGCUUUGGGACAUGGCGCCUGCUCUUGAAAGCAAGCAUUUAGGAGUUUUUAAAGGCCUAAGUUCAAACCUGCUACUAGAAAAGAUACAUUUAAAGGGAAGAUGCCCUGCUGUAAAUUAGUGGCUUUCCAUUGGGACCACACUUAGUGGAGUCCAGGGGUUGGUGACCCAUGUCUUGAGUAAUGGGAGACUAGAACCAAGUUGCUUGUGUGUGAGGGAGUCAGAUGGAACAAAGGUUUCUUCAUGGAAAAGCAAGUGGCAGUGAUGGUAGUACCUGGGGAGUGUUUUGGCGAUUGCGCUGUUCAAGACUGGAUAGAGAGCCAAAUCUGGGCUGUGCAGUCGGCUGUGCUUUUGGCAGGAAUGAGAAGGGCAGGUUGGAGUGACAAAAAAAACCACCAAGAGUCUCUGUGUGGUGACUCACCCAUGCUCCCAGCCCUCCCCCAUCCAUUCCCGUGAAUCCGUAUAGGUUUAAAGAGCCUGCCUAUUAGUCAGACUCUCUCAGGGGGCACAGAGACCCUCUCAGGUUACUUUCAGUAAUGGGGAUUUAUUGUAAGGAUAUUUCUGGAAAUUGGGAGGCCUCAAAGCCUUAGGAUUCCAUAAACACUGAGGACAGAUUGGCUUCUAGGAGCUCGGAACAGGAUUCUGGACCUCAGGCAGCUCCAGGGGUCUGAUUAUCUCAUACUCUCUACAACGAGAUAAGAAGUUUAUGGCUGGAUUGAAAACCAGGCAUGUUUGCCUCUGAGGUCUGUGCUCCUUCCACUGGUGGAGUCAGGAAGACAUGGACUCUGAGCAUUGUUCAAUCCCUUACCAGGGCUGUGACUUGAGUGAAGUAGCCACAGAGUGGAUUGUUUCUGGCAAGAAGAGGACUGUGACUGGCUUCUCCAGCAACACAACUGGCUGCUUUCUGGACCAUCAUCUUUGACCAUUAUUGUGUACUGUGGGACAGCACAUUAAUUUGAAUAUGUUUUGAAACCAAGAAUCAUUAGACAGGUAGAAAUUCUAUUUGUGUGUAUCUGAGUAUAUAAAAUGAGUCGAAGAAAAGCAAUUUUUGGAUCAUCUGCUGAUUUGCAUUGUUUGGAAAUUGAUACGGAUCAUUGAGACUUCAAUGAAGUUAUGCUGACUACAUCCAGGUAGUCUGUGUUGUCAAGAAAUUCAUUGGUUUCCCCACUGAACUCUGUCCCCUGACAAGUGUUGGAGAUAUGAAGUGGUGAUGACCAUU